UACGGAGGGUGCUAGCGUUGUUCGGAAUCACUGGGCGUAAAGGGCGCGUAGGCGGCCUGUUAAGUCGAACGUGAAAUCCCCGGGCUCAACCCGGGAACUGCGUCCGAUACUGGCAGGCUUGAAUCCGGGAGAGGGAUGCGGAAUUCCAGGUGUAGCGGUGAAAUGCGUAGAUAUCUGGAGGAACACCGGUGGCGAAGGCGGCAUCCUGGACCGGCAUUGACGCUGAGGCGCGAAAGCCAGGGGAGCAAACGGG
rnacentral:rRNA from 1 species